GGUGGCAUGGCCAAGUGGUAAGGCGGAAGCCUGCAAAGCUUCUAUUCCCCAGUUCGAAUCUGGGUGCCACCU
rnacentral:tRNA from 1 species